rnacentral:rRNA from 1 species
GAUGAACGCUGGCGGCGUGCCUAAUACAUGCAAGUCGAGCGAACGGACGAGAAGCUUGCUUCUCUGAUGUUAGCGGCGGACGGGUGAGUAACACGUGGAUAACCUACCUAUAAGACUGGGAUAACUUCGGGAAACCGUAGCUAAUACCGGAUAAUAUUUUGAACCGCAUGGUUCAAAAGUAAAAGACGGUCUUGCUGUCACUUAUAGAUGGAUCCGCGCUGCAUUAGCUAGUGGGUAAGGUAACGGCUUACCAAGGCAACGAUGCAUAGCCGACCUGAGAGAGUGAUCGGACACACUGGAACUGAGACACGGUCCAGACUCCUACGGGAGGCAGCAGUAGGGAAUCUUCCGCAAAGGGCGAAAGCCUGACGGAGCAACGCCGCGUGAGUGAUGAAGGUCUUCGGAUCGUAAAACUCUGUUAUUAGGGAAGAACAUAUGUGUAAGUAACUGUGCACAUCUUGACGGUACCUAAUCAGAAAGCCACGGCUAACUACGUG